ACAGAAAGCAGAAACACUGAACAACAACUCUGCAGUGCAUGAAAAGUUUUAACACUAAGCCAACCCCUGGGGGAGCACUAACACCAUCUAUGUGUCACAGCAAACACAUUUAGAUAGACACAUCUCUGAUGAUCUGAGGGGUCAGGAAGGUUCACACUGGAGAAAUAACUUUGACAUGUUUAUAAGCUCAAAAAUCUUUUAGUUCUUUGUAGAACAUUCAAAAGAUUUGAAAAUAGAUUUUUUUAAUUUAAUCUAGUCAUGUUUUUAAUGGCUAGAUUAGAUCUAGAUCUUUAUGGCUAAUCUUUCUCAAAAUACACAGAUUUUGCUUUCAAAAUGUUUUGAGCUAAAAAUGUGCAUACAAGAACACAAGUGUAGUACUACAGUUGUAGUAAAGCAGACAAUUCAUUUAAACCUUCUUCAGUAUUUCUCAGAGUUUACCUCAAAGAUCUGCAUUAGAUCCUGACAUUGGUAUGAAGACUGAAACUCCUAUUCCUUUCAAGAUUGAGAAUGCACAGCUAUUUGAAACCUGCAUAUUAUUUUAGCAAUAAGAAAAAAAAUCUUCAUUAUUUAAUGAGACAGAAAUGAAAUCACUGCAUUGUGUGAUUUUUCAGAAUAUACAGACAGACAGUCAUAAUAACAGAAACAUUUAGUGGACAGAUGGAAAAAAAGAGUUUCAGCAUUUAAGAUGAGGAGGAUUUUUAAAGUCCUUCUUGGUAUUAAAAUAAAAAUAAAACAUUAGCUCAGAUAUGAUUCUUGCAUGUGGUUCAUGGAGGUAAAAAACAGAUUGAUAAUACAUAAGAAAGGCAUUUUUAAUCAUGAGUUUCUGGUGUGGAGUGUUUGGUAUUAUGCAAAUCAGAAGAGUCAGGUUUAAAAGGCUUGAUCUGAUGCUCUCAGCUGUAGAAGAAGAGAAACUCCCAUCAGAUCAUCUUCACCACCAACAUGUUUUCUGUAGCUCUGUUGCUGCUGUUGGCUGCUGGAUCCUGUGUGAAGUGUGAACAGCUGACACAGCCAGCCUCUGAGACUGUUCAGCCAGGUCAACGUCUGACCAUCAGAUGUCAGGUCUCUUAUGAUCUGAGCAGCUACUGGACAGCUUGGAUCAGACAGCCUGCUGGGAAAGGACUGGAGUGGAUUGGGAUGAAAUAUACUGGAGACUCACGCUACAAAGAUUCCCUGAAGAACAAGUUCAGUAUUGACUUAGACACUUCCAGUAAAACAGUGACUCUGAAUGGACAGAAUAUGCAGCCUGAAGACUCUGCUGUUUAUUACUGUGCAAGAUACCCACAGUGA